rnacentral:rRNA from 1 species
AUUGAACGCUGGCGGCAGGCCUAACACAUGCAAGUCGAGCGAGCGGCGGACGGGUGAGUAAUGUCUGGGAACCUGCCUGAUGGAGGGGGAUAACUACUGGAAACGGUAGCUAAUACCGCAUACCAUCGGAUGUGCCCAGAUGGGAUUAGCUAGUAGUUGGGGUAAAGGCUCACCUAGGCGACGAUCCCUAGCUGGUCUGAGAGGAUGACCAGCCACACUGGAACUGUGACACAGUGCAGACUCCUAAGGGAGGCAGCAGUGGGGAAUAUUGCACAAUGGGCGCAAGCCUGAUGCAGACAUGCCGCGUGUAUUAAGAAGGCCUUCGGGUUGUAAAGUACUUUCAGCGGGGAGGCGUUACCCGCAGAAGAAGCACCGGCUGACGCCGUGCCAGCAGACGCGGUAAUUC